rnacentral:rRNA from 1 species
AGGACGAACGCUGGCGGCGUGCUUAACACAUGCAAGUCGAGCGGAAAGGCCCUUCGGGGUACUCGAGCGGCGAACGGGUGAGUAACACGUGAGCAACCUGCCCCUGGCCUCUGGGAUAGCCCUUCGGAAAACGGGGAUUAAUACCGGAUAUUCACUGCUUCCUGCAUGGGGGGUGGUGGAAAGUUUUUCGGCUGGGGUGGGGCUCGCGGCCUAUCAGCUUGUUGGGGGGGUGACGGCCCACCAAGGCGACGACGGGUA